AAAGUUUUCUCGCAUCUAGUACUCUUUCUUUCAACAACAUAAGCGAAAACGAGCUUCGUCGUGUCGCCAGGAUCAUAGCCAAAAAGAUGUUUGCGGUGCAGCAGCAGGAGCAAUUGGCCAAGGGCUUGGUUCGUAAUGUGGGCACGCAAACAACAGAGCACGGCGUGCAUUUCAUUCCAUGAGGACAUUUUAUGAGGAAUAUUUUUUCGUCAGCAUAUCGCUGCUUUCAGUAUCAAAGCCGUUUGAAGAACUUGUUCAUGACGUCGAGGUGGUGCGGUAAAUAAAAAGGGGCACUGUUUCCCUUAUUCAUGAUUCAGAAAAA